GACGAACGCUGGCGGCGUGCUUAACACAUGCAAGUCGAACGGAAAGGCCCUGCUUUUGUGGGGUGCUCGAGUGGCGAACGGGUGAGUAACACGUGAGUAACCUGCCCGUGACUUUGGGAUAACUUCAGGAAACUGGGGCUAAUACCGGAUAGGAGCUCCUGCUGCAUGGUGGGGGUUGGAAAGUUUCGGCGGUUGGGGAUGGACUCGCGGCUUAUCAGCUUGUUGGUGGGGUAGUGGCUUACCAAGGCUUUGACGGGUAGCCGGCCUGAGAGGGUGACCGGCCACAUUGGGCCUAAGAUACGGCCCAGACUCCUACGGGAGGCAGCAGUGGGGAAUAUUGCACAAUGGGCGGAAGCCUGAUGCAGCAACGCCGCGUGCGGGAUGACGGCCUUCGGGUUGUAAACCGCUUUCGCCUGUGACGAAGCGUGAGUGACGGUAAUGGGUAAAGAAGCACCGGCUAACUACGUG
rnacentral:rRNA from 1 species